UAGUCAUAUGCUUGUCUCAAAGACUAAGCCAUGCAUGUCUAAGUAUAAAUGUUAUACAGUGAAACUGCGAAUGGCUCAUUAAAACAGUUAUAGUUUAUUUGAUAAUCGAAUUUACAUGGAUAACCGUGGUAAUUCUAGAGCUAAUACAUGCUGGUUAGCCUGACUUUUGAGGAAGGGCUGUAUUUAUUAGAUAACAAACCAAUAUUCCCCGUGUCUAUUGUGAUGACUCAUAAUAACUGAUCGAAUCGCAUGGGCUUUGCCCGCGAUACAUCAUUCAA
rnacentral:rRNA from 1 species